rnacentral:rRNA from 1 species
CUACGGGAGGCAGCAGUGAGGAAUAUUGCACAAUGGGAGGAACCCUGAUGCAGCAACGCCGCGUGGAGGAUGACGCAUUUCGGUGUGUAAACUCCUUUUAUAUGUCAAGAAAAUGACGGUAGCAUAUGAAUAAGCACCGGCUAACUCCGUGCCAGCAGCCGCGGUAAUACGGAGGGUGCAAGCGUUACUCGGAAUCACUGGGCGUAAAGGACGCGUAGGCGGGUUGGAAAGUCAGGUGUGAAAUCCUACAGCUUAACUGUAGAACUGCACUUGAAACUUCUAAUCUAGAGUAUGGGAGGGGGAAAUGGAAUUAGUGGUGUAGGGGUAAAAUCCGUAGAUAUCACUAGGAAUACCUAAAGCGAAGGCGAUCUCCUGGAACAUUACUGACGCUAAGGCGUGAAAGCGUGGGGAGCAAACAGGAUUAGAUACCCCUGUAGUC